rnacentral:ncRNA from 1 species
GACCCGAAAGCUAAUGAUCUUACUAUGAUAAGAUAUAUAAAUGAUCGUACAGGUUGAUGUUGCAAUAUCAUCUGAAUAAUUGUAGUAAGCUAGUGAAAGACAAAUCUGAUUAGCAGAUAGCUGG